rnacentral:lncRNA from 1 species
CUGAGCUGCCUUCCGUACCAUCGAAGAGCACACCUGGCAGCAGAUUUGCAUCCUGGGCCUCCACCUGUUGGAACCGCCGGCCCUCGGGGUCCAGCUCCCCCGCCACUCCCCUGGCUCCUCUCCAGUCGUCCAUGUCGGAGACCCUCGCUCCUGUGACCCUUCCUCUCCAGUCGUCCACGUCGGAGACCCUGGCUCGUGUGGCCCUUACACCGGCCGGUAAGGAGAGAAAUCUUAAAAACCGUGUUUGAAGACAGUUGUGGAAGAAACCGUUCGGCUUGCCCGUGUGAACUCAGCCUGUUGAGGACCCUUCAUGUGAAUUUCAGCACGUGUCUUAAAAGUCACUCAGAAGCAUGCAUUUCAGGUACAGACCUCAUGGGGGUGUCCGUGUGUCUGAGAAGCACGUAGAAGGUGUCGAGUGACAGUGCAGCCAGCACUUGGGCACUGGGCUGAGUCCCCCGGCG